rnacentral:rRNA from 1 species
GAUGAACGCUGGCGGCGUGCCUAAUACAUGCAAGUCGAGCGAACAGACGAGGAGCUUGCUCCUCUGACGUUAGCGGCGGACGGGUGAGUAACACGUGGAUAACCUGCCUAUAAGACUGGGAUAACUUCGGGAAACCGGAGCUAAUACCGGAUAAUAUAUUGAACCGCAUGGUUCAAUAGUGAAAGACGGUUUUGCUGUCACUUAUAGAUGGAUCCGCGCCGCAUUAGCUAGUUGGUAAGGUAACGGCUUACCAAGGCAACGAUGCGUAGCCGACCUGAGAGGGUGAUCGGCCACACUGGAACUGAGACACGGUCCAGAUUCCUACGGGAGGCAGCAGUAGGGAAUCUUCCGCAAUGGGCGAAAGCCUGACGGAGCAACGCCGCGUGAGUGAUGAAGGUCUUCGGAUCGUAAAACUCUGUUAUUAGGGAAGAACAAAUGUGUAAGUAACUAUGCACGUCUUGACGGUACCUAAUCAGAAAGCCACGGCUAACUACGUG